GGCUGGUCCAAAUACAGUGGUAUUUACAACUAAUUGAUCACAACCAGAGACAGAUUCCUUUGUUCCUCUUCCACUCCCACUGCUUCACUUGACCAGCCUUCA
ensembl:misc_RNA Y_RNA Y RNA